CACGCCGUAAACGAUGAUAACUAGAUGUUGAAGGUAUUGACCCCUUCAGUAUCGAAGCUAACGCAUUAAGUUAUCCGCCUGGGGAGUACGGUCGCAAGAUUAAAACUCAAAGAAAUUGACGGGGGCCCGCACAAGCGGUGGAGUAUGUGGUUUAAUUCGACGCAACACGAAGAACCUUACCUGGGUUAGAAAUCAAACAGACGGUUUUCAGAGAUGAAUUCCUUCCCUCACGGGACUGUUUGACAGGUGC
rnacentral:rRNA from 1 species